UGCGUAGGCGGCCUGGUAAGUCAGAGGUGAAGGCUCGCAGCUUAACUGUGGAAUUGCCUUUGAUACUGUCAGGCUUGAAUCAGGCUGAGGUAGGCGGAAUGUGGCAUGUAGCGGUGAAAUGCUUAGAUAUGCCAUAGAACACCAAUUGCGAAGGCAGCUUACUAGACCUGAAUUGACGCUGAGGCACGAAAGCGUGGGGAGCGAACAGGAUUAGAUACCCUGGUAGUCC
rnacentral:rRNA from 1 species